GCUUGGGGUUUGCGGUCCUGAUCCUCUUCUGUGACUGGCCAGAGGACUUCCUCUGGGUCUUCUGUGGUCCCUUGAGGAGUCAGCUCCACUGGGGUUGAGAGUCUCACUCUCUUGCUUCAAAGUCAAAGGGCUGGUCAAAUGAAUGUAGGUCCCUUGGGACUGGGCCAACGAAGGAGCUUGCAGAUCAGGAGGAAGAUGGGCCUUGGUGGAGGUGUGCACGGGAGACUCUUUCUGUGGCGAGAUUUGUUCCUAGCUUCUAACACCAAGUCAGACAGGUAUCCCCCCGCCGCCCCCAAAAACGCUAUCGGUCCCAUCUAGUUAUUCAGCCCUUGAAGUUAGCCAGCCCUUCAAUAAUUUCUGAUUUUCCAGCUACUUCCGCAUAGACAGCCUCACUACCUCAUUGGCUGUCACAACCCAUUUUAUGAAUGAGAAAAUGGAGGCCAAGAGACAGCAGGCCACUUGAUUCCUGGACACAUCUCCCUGCUGCAGCCAUGCCUUCCCGUUGGCUCUGUCGACCGCAGCUUGGUCACUGCUUGCAGGACAUGGAGCAGGCAGAGAGUCAUUCCCCCGAGGUGCACAUAUCAGAUGCCAACCCCAGAGUCUGGCAGCUGGAAAGGCUCUCUGGACAGCCAUAACUUAAUGUUACCCAGGCAAGGGCCAAACCAUUGAGCAACACUGCUAAGCCUCUGUUAAUUUUUUCCGAGACAGGGUCUCAGACAAGUAACCUAGUCUGGUCUAGAACUUGGGGAUCCUUCUGUCUCUGCCUACGAGGCUGUGAGCUCACAGGUAUGUGCUUACUCCAUUUUUUUUUUUAAAUACAAUGUAUUUUUCUAUAUCCAGCAGUGGCCAAGAAUAAACACAAAGAUUGGUGUAUUUGGUCCCCUUGGGAUGUGUGGGGAAAAAAGAGAAGAAGAAAUAGAAAAGAGUGGCUUUUGUGAAGUGAGCAGGCACCCCACAUGUGGGUGACCAGAGGAAAGUGGCCAUUCUCUAGCAUUUACUGAGCCACAUGCUACCCAGGAAUCAUUUCUAGCCCUGGGAUCACACUCCCUUCAUACAUGGGCUAGUUAGAGCACCUUGGCCAUGUUGAAGGUGACAGUCUCCUGCCUUCUUCUGGAGAGCACUUGUCUACACCUGAGGAAUGGAAUGACUCUGGCAGACCUAACAGAAAGGUCUGGUCUUUUAAGUUGCGGAACAUGCCAACUCCACGUUAAAAUAAUAAGCACACACUGUAGGUAGAGCCUGGUGUAGCGGCAUGGGCCUGUAACCUCAGGACCAGGGAGGGGAAAAGAGGAUCAGGGCUUCAAGGUCAUAUAGGGGACUCUGUCUCAAAAGAAUUUCAAAACUGAAAUUCCACAGUAUGAGCCAAGGUCAAGUUAUAUUGUCUGUCCCCCUACAGAGGAUAUGCAAAUUACAUCCUUUCCACAAAUCCCGAUAAAAUCCCAAGGCGGGGUGUGUGUGUGUGUGUGUGUGUGUGUGUGUGUGUGUGUGUGUGUGUGUGUGUUAUCAGCCUGUUAUUCUUCCGUCAGUCUCAGGACAGGUUCUGGGGCGGGGGAACACUCAGAGACGCCCCCUGCCUUACCCCAGAUCACCAGCAACUGAGGCAGAGACACCCCCCUUCGAGGCUCCUCCCUCCAGUUGUUCCCUUCAAAACUCCUUUGGGGAUACAGCAAGACUAAAAUGACCAAUGAAUAAAAACAGUCCUAUCUGUCAACCUGUGACUCAGCCCCAGAGGCCGAGAGAACCAUGCUAGGCAGCGGUUCAAACGCCAGACACAGAGGCUGGCACAGCAGGGUGGUACUUAGGACCAACAAGGCUUGAGCUAGCCGCUUGUCCCUCAGAGGCCACACCUCUCCUUACACCUUGUCCCCUGGUGCCCCAACUUCACAGGCUGAGCAAACUCAGGACUGUAUCCAGUCAUUUCCCAGGAAGGAAAAAAAAAAGGAUCUCGAUUGGUUGUGCAGGACCACCUUGGAUUCAUUCUCCACAGCAAGCAAGCCUCCACCCUGCAGUUGUCCUGACCCAGCCUUCUCAGUAGCUGAGGCAUUAUAGGACUGUAUUCUCAGGCCCAAACUUGAUUAGCAUAUCUUUGUGCUGUGGCGUUUGUUGUAUUAUAAAGUUUUGAAGGCUUUGAUGAAGUUAGGAGACUCCAAACAAGAAAGAGCCCUUUCUUGGCCAUCCUCAAGGAAGAUGGCCUGUGAAAUGGACUCACUGGUUCUAUCUUUGCCGAGGACUCUAGGUCUUCUAUACCACCAGUUUUAGCUAUGCCCUUUAGAUGCCGUCCGAGGGUCACUGUCAUCUGGCGUUCCCUACCUUUGGGAUCUGUGAUUCGCCCUUCCCCUCUGCCCUGCCUCUGGAUUAGCUGGUGUAGCCAGCCUUCUGGGAUAACUCCAGCCAUGAACAGGAUGAGAGAGGGAUUCUUCAGACACCUAUGAACAGGGUACCAUAAGUGGCAGUGACUCCCAACAGUGUUGGAAAGAGUUUUGGCGGUAUCUGGAAGCAUUGGGUGGUACUCCUGGCAUCUGAUGGGGAAGGACCAAGGAGGCUGCUCCACCCUUCUCACUGGGCAACCUGUCCAGCAAAACAACAGCAACAACAACAACAACAACAACAACAACAACAACAACAACAACAACGACAAACUAGCCACACUAAGUGUGUCUGGGUCAGUAGUUAGGAGAUCCCCGUGCUCAGGGAUGACAAGUUCCAGGCCUGCCAUCAGAACACAAACUUGGAUAAAUAGUAGCCAGCUAGGAAACAGGGCUGGGUACCCAGCUUAUGCUAUGACUCGCCAUUGACUACUCAGACAUCCAUUCCUCUCCAAGUCAUGUUUCCUUUGGAUCCUAGGCCAUGAUUCAAAGAUUAUAUACAGGAGGACCGAGUAUGCUCUGGAAGUGAAAACUUUAAGCUCAUUCCUCCCAGCUCCAAGGAGCAUGGAGGGUAUAGGGAGGGCGGGGAGGGUGGUAGGGUGUAGGGAGGAUGGCAACGGUGCUGGCAGCCUGGAGCCAGCCUUUUCUUCUCCCUUGAGUGAUAGCAAGCCUAAGAUGUUAUUGUGCACAUAGGUAUUACCGCUUUAACUUUUACUGAGGUAAAAUAACACCUUGUCACUCAGCGCAAGUACCAAUCACAAAAUGAAUUAAUUGUAAUAACUGUUGUCAACAGAACAAAAGACUUGUUGCUUUUCUAAGCAGAUUUCAGCGCACUGAGAACUAUAUACAAACGUUCCCAUUGGGCAGGCUGGCGGAAACCAGUCAGAAUAUAAUUGUAUCUGUCUAUCUCUUUACUUUGUUUUUAAGGGCUAAGGAAUCCAGUUAAAAACCUAUAUUUUAAACAUAUCAAUAAAUAUAGCCCUUUUUGUGUUUGGGAUGUCUCCUCAAAAAAAAAAUGGAGUCUUUAAUAAAUUGGCCAUGAAAAUAGCAUUUGCCGUUGAUGGUUCCAAAUAAGGGCCAGCUGCAGAGGCUGCCUGUGGACUCUUAAGUCAUGAAGGGAAUUAUGCCCAAUUACCUUCCCAUAAAACACCCUCUCAUUUCUGGAAGUUAUCAAAACGCAUCCUGCGGACAAGUGGUCAGCUGCCCCUUUGCUCCUCGGAGAAGCACAAGAGGUCUCAUGCCGGGCCCACUGGGCGCUUAACUGCCCUCAUGGGCACAGGCAGGCUUGUUUAUAGCCGCACUUUUUACAGUUCCCCACUCCCUGCAAACCCCUAUUUUUUUUAAUUUUAUUUAUUUAUUUAUUUUUUUGCAUUCUACCUUUUUCACAUCUCUGCACAUUUCUCUCUUGAAGAACUGAGGAAACCCUAGAGAUACUGUUCUACAAAUGAGGCUCUCCUGGGAGAGCAAGUGGGCAGAGGGGCUGGGCAUGGGUCUCUCCAGCGUCCCUGCCAAGUUGAGUCAUCCAAUCAGGUCAUUCUGUGGCUUGCCUUUGAGGGUGAGGCUUUGAGGCAGCCGUAAUGAGGAAUAACCUAAAGAAAAGUGUGUCCUGGACCCACUAGCUAAAAGUGGAUGUGAU
rnacentral:sRNA from 1 species